UGGGGAAUAUUGGACAAUGGGCGAAAGCCUGAUCCAGCCAUGCCGCGUGGGUGAAGAAGGCCUUAGGGUUGUAAACCCCUUUCAGCGGGGAAGAUAAUGACGGUACCCGCAGAAGAAGUCCCGGCUAACUCCGUGCCAGCAGCCGCGGUAAUACGGAGGGGACUAGCGUUGUUCGGAAUUACUGGGCGUAAAGCGCACGUAGACGGAUUUGUAAGUCAGGGGUGAAAUCCCGGGGCUCAACCUCGGAACUGCCUUUGAUACUGCGAAUCUCGAGUCCGGAAGAGGUGAGUGGAAUUCCUAGUGUAGAGGUGAAAUUCGUAGAUAUUAGGAAGAACACCAGUGGCGAAGGCGGCUCACUGGUCCGGUACUGACGCUGAGGUGCGAAAGCGUGGGGAGCAAACA
rnacentral:rRNA from 1 species